GGGCCCGCACAAGCGGAGGAACAUGUGGUUUAAUUCGAUGAUACGCGAGGAACCUUACCCGGGCUCGAACGGCAGAGGGAUGUGGAUGAAAGUUCACAGCUAGUAAUAGUCUCUGUCGAGGUGCUGCAUGGUUGUCGUCAGCUCGUGCCGUGAGGUGUCGGCUUAAGUGCCAUAACGAGCGCAACCCUUACCGACAGUUACCAGCGUAUAAAGCCGGGGACUCUGUCGGAACUGCCACCGUAAGGUGCGAGGAAGGUGGGGAUGACGUCAAAUCAGCACGGCCCUUACGUCCGGGGCGACACACGUGUUACAAUGGGGGGUACAGAGGGCAGGCUACACGGCGACGUGAUGCCAAUCUCCAAAAGCCUCUCACAGUUCGGAUCGGAGUCUGCAACUCGACUCCGUGAAGCUGGAUUCGCUAGUAAUCGCGCAUCAGCCAUGGCG
rnacentral:rRNA from 1 species